rnacentral:rRNA from 1 species
UGGGGAAUAUUGGACAAUGGGCGAAAGCCUGAUCCAGCCAUGCCGCGUGUGUGAAGAAGGUCUUCGGAUUGUAAAGCACUUUAAGUUGGGAGGAAGGGCAGUAAGCGAAUACCUUGCUGUUUUGACGUUACCGACAGAAUAAGCACCGGCUAACUCUGUGCCAGCAUCCGCGGUAAUACAGAGGGUGCAAGCGUUAAUCGGAAUUACUGGGCGUAAAGCGCGCGUAGGUGGUUCGUUAAGUUGAAUGUGAAAGCCCCGGGCUCAACCUGGGAACUGCAUCCAAAACUGGCGAGCUAGAGUAGGGCAGAGGGUGGUGGAAUUUCCUGUGUAGCGGUGAAAUGCGUAGAUAUAGGAAGGAACACCAGUGGCGAAGGCGACCACCUGGGCUCAUACUGACACUGAGGUGCGAAAGCGUGGGGAGCAAACAGG